rnacentral:rRNA from 1 species
GACGAACGCUGGCGGCGUGCUUAACACAUGCAAGUCGAACGAUGAAGCCCUUCGGGGUGGAUUAGUGGCGAACGGGUGAGUAACACGUGGGCAAUCUGCCCUUCACUCUGGGACAAGCCCUGGAAACGGGGUCUAAUACCGGAUAACACUCUGUCCCGCAUGGGACGGGGUUGAAAGCUCCGGCGGUGAAGGAUGAGCCCGCGGCCUAUCAGCUUGUUGGUGGGGUGAUGGCCUACCAAGGCGACGACGGGUAGCCGGCCUGAGAGGGCGACCGGCCACACUGGGACUGAGACACGGCCCAGACUCCUACGGGAGGCAGCAGUGGGGAAUAUUGCACAAUGGGCGAAAGCCUGAUGCAGCGACGCCGCGUGAGGGAUGACGGCCUUCGGGUUGUAAACCUCUUUCAGCAGGGAAGAAGCGAAAGUGACGGUACCUGCAGAAGAAGCGCCGGCUAACUACGUGCCAGCAGCCGCCGUAA